rnacentral:lncRNA from 1 species
CUGCGGGUAUCCAUCGGGAUCAAUCUUGAACCGAUCUUUUCAUAAUAGAUCCUUCUUCUCCAAGUAGGAUCUCAACCUUUAGAAUCUUGAUCAAUGCUUUGAUCUAGACUACAGAAUCAAGUCCUUGAUCUGCAGCUUUUUCUCUUCAUUCCUCGCUCUGGAUGAAAACUCCUCAACUCUUGGCAUGUGGAAAGGUAGGAUGCCCAACCUUUGGGUGUGGGAAAGAGAAGUGGGAGAAGGGG